rnacentral:misc_RNA from 1 species
CCUUGCCAAGAACGUGGCCUGGGCCGCCCAGACACAAGUCAAUCACUGGAUGACUGUUUUGGCCGAGUGGAAGUCCAUGUUGGGCCCAGACUGGGACAAGGCGUACGCUGCGAGCAACACCAUUUACGUCGCNUCAGAACAAUGUUCUUUUUAGCGUAUUGGCUCAAUUCUUUCCGCCUGAGGCGAUCAAUGAUCGCUUGUUGCUGAUUGAAACGGUUUCUUCCACCACCACUCAAGCUGAUAUGCUGGAUG